CCAUGUGUAGCGGUGAAAUGCGUAGAUAUAUGGAGGAACACCAGUGGCGAAGGCGAUUUACUAGCUCGAUACUGACGCUUAGUCACGAAAGCGUGGGGAGUAAAUAGGAUUAGAUACCCUAGUAGUCCACGCUGUAAACGAUGACAACUAAGUAUUGCUGUGAGGCAGUGCUGAAGCUAACGCAUUAAGUUGUCCGCCUGAGGAGUACGCACGCAAGUGUGAAACUUAAAGGAAUUGACGGGGGCCCGCACAAGCAGUGGAGCAUGUGGUUUAAUUCGUGGCUACGCGAAGAACCUUACCAGGACUUGACAUGCCGCUAAAGACCUUAGAAAUAAGGGGAUAGUUAUAGCGGACACAGGUGGUGCAUGGUUGUCGUCAGCUCGUGUCGUGAGAUGUUCGGUUAAGUCCGGCAACGAGCGCAACCCUUGUCCUUAGUUGCCAGCAUUAAGUUGGGGACUCUAAGGAGACCGCCGGUGUAAACCGGAGGAAGGUGGGGAUGGCGUCAAAUCAUCAUGCCCUUUAUGUCCUGGGCGACACACGUGCUACAAUGGCCGUUACAAAGAGCAGCAAAACCGCGAGGUCAAGCAAAUCUCAUAAAGACGGUCUCAGUUCGGAUUGGAGUCUGCAACUCGACUCCAUGAAGUCGGAAUUGCUAGUAAUCGUAGAUCAGCCAUGCUACGGUGAAUACGUUCCCGGGCCUUGUACACACCGCCCGUCAAACCAUGAAAGCUGGUAAUACUCGAAGUCGGUAUCCUAACUUUGCAAAAAGAGGGAGCCGCCCAAGGUAGGAUCAGUAAUUGGGGUUAAGUCGUAANCAAGGUAACCCGAAAGGGCGAAUUNCGUAACUCG
rnacentral:rRNA from 1 species